rnacentral:lncRNA from 1 species
CUGAGUUCCUUAGUGCCUCACUUCUGCUGAAGCUGGCUUUGAACUCACAAUCCUCCUGUCUCAACCUCCGGAGCCGAUGGGAUUACAGGCAUGUGUCACUGUCCUGGCCCCUCAUUUACUCUUCUUCAAAAUGUACAGUCAUACCACCCCAGCAUUUUCUAGAAAAUAUACACAACAGGCCAAGUGGACACAAACUGAAGUAUGGAUACUUUGUACCCAGCUCUUUUGCACAACCAAUUUGCCAUGAAACUGGCUGAGCAAAGGAAAAUUGACUCUGUCUGUGGGCUGAGAACAUGCCAGGGACAUGCUGAAAACACAGCAGCAAGCUUCCUUUUGUUGCUAAAAGCUUGGUCCUUGUCCCUGAUGACAAUCAAUAAUGAGGACAAGGUUUUGAGAAAAAAGGAAAAAGAGACGAUUUUUUUUGCUUUGCUAGCAAAGGAGAAACACAGGGGACACCUGUCCUAAAGGCUGUGAUUCUGUCCAUCAGCAGGAACAAGGGACUUUUAAAGAGGUGAUUCAAAGGCUACAUUCCACAGGUUCUCUGUCUGGAGUUAUAAUUCACUUGUUAAUUUGGGAGAGAGUCAUUUCUGAGAUCUUCUGAUACCCUCCCGAAAGUCUGGAUUACUUCGUUCCUAUGGUGGGUGUGAACUCAAGGACAAGAUAAAUCUGCCUAACAUGGGGGGGGAAAGGUAAUCCCAUUUCCCUGAGAUUAGGGAGGGGAGAGAUUAGGGAGGAGCAAGUCCAUUUUAACAAUAAAUUGGAGUGAGUUGGAGGAAGGCUCUAGAAAAAGAACGGCAGCCUCUCUAGCAGCAGUAGCAGCAGCA